GCUCAACUUAUACUUUGCUUCAUUGUUGUCUUUCUGAAUGAAGCGUUCAUCAGACUGCCAACUCCAGGUGGCAACAGAAAUGAGGGCGUGGUCUGUAAGAAUGAUAAUUUUGUCAAGGAACACACACGCACAGACUCAUACGUUUGAUUGUCCGAAGAAGCCUGACAAUUCACUUCAGCUGUUCUUGUGAACGGGAAUGAAUUCACGGGAGUUCAUUUUGUGAUUUUUUUUGAAGACUACGUAUCUUUUCCAAGCAUGGUUCAGAAGGUAGCCGUGAUUGGCGCCGGGAUGUCAGGCCUGACCAGCAUCAAAUCCUGUUUGGAAGAAGGUCUUGAGCCCACCUGCUUUGAGAGCGGUCCUGACAUCGGCGGUCUAUGGAGAUUUAAGGAGGAACCGGAGCCUGGACGGGCCAAUA